rnacentral:sRNA from 17 species
GUGCGAUGAGUCGAUAUGCAGAUUUUCUGCAAAUUGAAGCAUGGGAGGUCAUAACGCAGGAGCGGACCUUGAUCAGUUGUGUGAACCUGCUGAUCACACAAAAGUGCCCUUAUCCCCAGUCUACGGAUUGGGGAUUUUU